rnacentral:rRNA from 1 species
UACGAAGGGGGCUAGCGUUGCUCGGAAUUACUGGGCGUAAAGAGCGCGUAGGCGGUCCGAUAAGUCGGCUGUGAAAGUCAAGGGCUCAACCCUUGAAAGCCGGCCGAUACUGUCGGACUAGAGUCCGGAAGAGGCAAGUGGAAUUCCCGGUGUAGCGGUGAAAUGCGCAGAUAUCGGGAAGAACACCCGUGGCGAAGGCGGUUCUCUGGGACGGUACUGACGCUGAGACGCGAAAGCGUGGGGAGCGAACAGG